UACGAAGGGGGCGAGCGUUGUUCGGAAUUACUGGGCGUAAAGGGCGCGUAGGCGGCCGAUCAAGUCAGAUGUGAAAGUCCUGGGCUUAACCUGGGGACUGCAUUUGAUACUGAUUGGCUUGAAUUCGGGAGAGGAUAGCGGAAUUUCCGGUGUAGCGGUGAAAUGCGUAGGUAUCUGGAGGAACACCGGUGGCGAAGGCGGCAUCCUGGACCGGCAUUGACGCUGAGGCGCGAAAGCCAGGGGAGCAAACGGG
rnacentral:rRNA from 1 species